AUAACCAAAUCAUAGUACCGAAGGGAGAGUCUAUGUCCUUCUACAGAUGCAAUGAUAUCUUCUUCAGUAGUCAGCUUCCUGUCUUAUGCUAGCACAUGCUCCAUCAUGCACACAUGUACAUACACUGCAGUGUAUCACUAUGUAUGUGUUUUCUUUUCAAUUGACUAAACGUAGCCAAAGACUAAUAGACCAAAUGUAGCAUUAACAAUUCAAAGGCAGAUCUAUAACCUACCAAGUCUGUGGUGGCAGAGGGCAGCAGAAAACUGCAGGAUACCAUGCAGGGACUGCAAUAAUCACAGUCAUUCUGGCAAAUGAAGUAGGCCAAGGCCCCUCUUCUCUCUGGAGAGCAAGUGGCACUUGGUACAUGUAAAUCCUCCUGCCACCCACUUCCACCUCCAUUCUACCUCUACAGGAAACCAAGGUGGAUUUGUCCAGACUGUUACAGGGUUCUGGGCUGCCUGACUCACCUGGGCUGUGCCUGGGCUACAGGAACACCGAGGAGCAAGCUAACAGCUCUGGCAUGUGGACAGCCACAGAGCUGUGCCAAGUGCACGGCCCAGCGAGUAACUGUCCUAAUCAUACUGGAGUACUAUUUUUAUUUUUUUUGUAAUACUUAAAAAGUAAAGAAGAAUAAUAAUUUUUUAAUCCAUUUAAAGUUCCUGGAUGCAUUUCCUAGGAGAUUAAGUCUGUUACUUAUAGAAUAGUUGCUUUUAAUCCCUAAAAAUAGCAUUUUUAAUUAACUUUUGGCUCUUCCCAAACAAAUAUGGUUUUUAUUUUGCUGUGUUUGCCUAUGGAGUUAGCCAGGAUAUGUAAAUACCAUUUAAAAUAAGUCCGUUCGAGAGGUUAAUGGGAGUUUAAAUGAAGAUCAAUAAGAAUACACAUUUUACAGAUUUCCUGGGUAGGAGCAUAGGUCAAGUAUUGAAAAAUAUAUUGUUCAGAAACAUUCCCAGUUAUACUGCCUUUCUUCAUGGAUGUUACUAGUGUUCAUCCCGUAUUUUAUGGACUGGUACAUGGAGUAAAUAUGGUGGUGAAUUUUCCCAAAUUUCUGUUCCUCAGCAAUUAAAAAUACAAUGCUAGAUACUACUUUGAAUCAAAAAGAAUUUAAAAAUGCACGUAACUGCCAAAUAUCUUUCUUCCUCUCACUUAUCUUACAUGUUUUUAAUGAGAGUCCACCACCUAUGUCUGGCAGUUAACUUCUGAGUAAGAACUAGAAUUUUUUUUUCUGUAUUAUACUUCUAAAUGGCAGAUACAACUCCCCUACCCCCCCAUUUGCUUUCAUGAGUGUUAAUGUACACACUGCUGCAGUCACCUGGCUGAACAGCAGCUAUGUUGAAACCACUUACAGCUCUGCACUAGAAUCAGUACUCUCUUGCUACAUCCUUGCUUACAAAUCUGUCCUUACCGAGGCCCUGCAGUCACCCUAAGUGACUGUUAGAACCUUAACAGACUUUUUCCUCCCCUAGUUUUAACAUAUUUUAUUCCUAAUUGUAGCUUAAAAUUGUGCAAAUCUUUUGCAGUUCUUGAACACAAUUUUCUAGCUAAGGGGAUAAUUUUUUUUUUCUCUCCACUCAUUCCUCUAAUGUCCAUUUGCUUCUUUUCCUUUAAAAAUACAGAGGGUGGGGGAGGGGGAAGCCCCCUCCUUAGGAAGCAAGCUGUAGUGAAACUAAGCUUACACUUCCUGUGAGUAUCAGUGCUGCUUCUGGCUCAGUAUCCAUGGAAACUUGAUUUCCCAUCCUGCUGCAGGAAUUAACUGAGGAUCCCAACACACUUGCUCAGGGAAUCACUAUGAUAUUAAUUCAUGUCAGACUAUCAGGCUCUCUUUAUUAUCUCAGAUACUCUUUUCAUUAGUUUUAAUCAGAACAAAAGGUUGAAUUAGCUUUCAUCAACUAAACAAAAAAAAGGCCAUCUAAAUCUUUACCUCCUCAAAACUAGGACACAGCACAUGGAGGCUACAUCUUGGAAAACACUGAUUUCAAAUGGAUCUUGGCCAAAAUGUCAACAGGAGAUGGUGCACAGCUGGGAGUGCUCUAUGCAAAUCUCCUUUUCCAUGUCAUAUACUCAGCUCUAUUUUUCACCUGUACUGCUAGUUGGAUUAUCUUGGGGCAAAAAGUCACUGUCUGCCCUUCACUAUCAGAAUGUACGUUCCUCUUCCACAGUUCAUUCUGUCCCAGCAUAUAAUGUGCAAAGCUCCAAGAGAAAAAGCCAAAAGGGACUUUUGCUAGGGAAUAUUGUUUUGAGAUUUCUCUUUGAAAGCUUUUCAUUAAUUACCAACAUAAGCAUGUCAAGUUCCCAUGGGGUCUGCUCUUGGAUCACCCACCUCUGAAUACCUACUUUUUAAAUUGCUUUCCUCUUGCUUUUAUUUCCUGCUUAAUUCCCUAGUUGCUGUCUCCAUUCCCUUUAUUUCUCUCUGACCUCCAAAUCAUCUUAUCUACACUGUGUCUUUCCUGCUUGGACAUGGAUUUUUUUUUUUUCAGUUUUCAUCUUUCUGAUAGUUUGUAUUUAGCAGCUGGUCCUUUUGUAACCAUGACAACUACAUGAUGAUGUCAGCAAAGGAGCUCUCUACUGUCUGAGGAACUGGAUCUCAUUAAAUGCUAGGGGUGCUGCUUGAGCUGAUGUUUUGUGUUCUGUACCCAGGAGAAUUUUUCUGGAGUCUUCUAUAUUUUUCUGUAUGCCAGGACAGGCCAAUUUCCUAUGUUAGCUGGUAUCCUUCAGACAAUUUCCCUUCUCCAUCUCUAGUUUGCACUAUUGAGAUACAGUCCCUCCCACAGAUGUGGGCUGUUGAGGGAGCAGUAUAGCAGGAAAGAUGACAAGGUUAUUAUGAUAGACUAAUCAUACAGUCCUUGAGUUGGAGCCAAGAAAUUACGCUGUGUGGUUCUGUUACAUCUCAAACACAGACAGUUUAUGAGAAGAAACUGAUUGGUCUCAAACUGUAAUCUCAGGUGCUGCAAAAGCUGCUUACACUCACUGCAAUAGUUUUGGAUUCAUGGACAAAGCUAAGUAGCACUGUUUUCUCCGACUGGUAAAUGCAGGCACAGGAAAUGUGAAAGUAAUGUUUCAAACUGACUUAGUGGCAACUCAAGACAUGUUAGACAAAUACUUAGGAGGGUGAAGAAAUACCAUAGACCAGUGAAAGACACUACUGGCAUACAAGGACACCAGCAUUCUUGGGGGAAAUAAUUCUCCCUUCUAGCUGGAUUUACAAAUUAUAUGUUGUGUUAUAUUGUUACUCACCACCAUGUCUGAGAACCCCAUCUGUGAGUAAUCACUCCUCAGUCUCAGGCUGCAAUUUCCCAACAUCAGACUCCUUAGGCAUCUAGAGAUUCAAAUGCUGUCAGAGAUAAGAGUCAGCCAAAUGUAGACUUCCAGGAAGAAGAGGAAGUAGGCAAGCACCUACUUCCCACCCAUAGCAAAGCUAGACCUUUUCUGUGUCCCUCUUCUUCCACUGUAAAAACACCAACUCACACUUCCUUCCCCUUUCUCCUCACAUCAAUAAAGAUCAUCAGGUGCUGUGAAUCUAAAGUUCUGGGAUAAAGUAACACCUCCGUGAAAAUACCUGCUUUAAGUUCAGCUUCAGUAAGAAUACUUUUAUACUGCCUUUUUUUUUUUUACUCUAAGAAAGUGCUGACAGAAACUGUAAUGAAAAUAAUACAUAUUAUUUUGAAUCAAAGGGAAUUUUAAAAUGCACAUAAUUGCCAAAUAUAUAGUAUUAUAUAUAUAUCAGGUUAAAGAGGUGGUAUAAUAUCAUAAUAUUAUACAACCUCUUCUUUCUUUACUCACUUCAGGCUACUUAGACUUCAAAAGGAACCUUUUAAAAAAAGGGUGAAGCUAGCAAAGACAAUUUGAUGUGAGUUUAGAAUGAAAAGGUGAGCACAAUGAAGCAAUGAGGCAGCAAGUCUAGAACAAAUAAGCAAAAGUACUUUUCUGUAGUAACAUACAAUGGAGCUUAAUGCUGGGUGAUGCUGUACAGGCCAUAAGGAUGAACAGUUACAAAAUGGACUAAGUAAUGAAGGAUGGAUCUGUUGGUGGCUAUUAAUCAUAAUGUGAAGAAGCAGCCUCUGGCUUAGGAAUUACUUGAUAAUAUAUUGGACAGUAGGGACAAGAGAAAAAAAAUCACUCUGUGCUUGCUUUGUUUGUUAUAUAUUAUCAGCAUCCACUAUUGGAAGCUCACAGCCAAGAACUGGAUGGGUUACGGAGACCUGAUCUGUCAUUUUUUCCAAAGGCAAAGCUCAAUAAAGUACAAAAAAAUUCUCAAAAAGUUCAAGUCUUGCUUUUACAAAAAGAACAAUUAAAUGCAACACAACUAUAUAGUAUUUGUAUAAAGGGGUAAAUAUAUAAUCUCUCAGAAUAUAAGAGUAAGAACACCUCAAAACAAAAAGGAAUAUUUCUGCACAGUACCUAAUACAUGGAACUGUCAUGAAAUACCACAGAGACGUACAUUCAGCAGAUGCAGAAAACAUUGAGCACUACAUCUGGUUAACAACGUUUCAACCUGAAUUUAUUUUGAAGAGAGACUCUUCCCUCUCCAACCAUCACUACUCCUUCAUAACAUAAUCCAAAUAAAUCUUGAUAACUAGCGAACAGAAGCACCAUUAACUAGGUAAAGACAGUUAACACUUCCUGCAGUCAUCUCCCGCUGACUCUCUCAGUACCGUCAGAGAGAGAAACCUGGGUUGGCUGGACCACAUAUCUGAGGUGAUUCAGUAGUUGUGUCCUGAGCUUUUUUGGGAAGAGUUUAAAGUUUGCCAUAGGAACAACAGGAAAUGGAAACUGUGUAUUUCAGAUCAAAGGGUAAUUUAAUUGAUCACUUUUAUAUGAAGGCCUUAGGAAGAAACAAAAAAGACAUCCUGUUCCAUUAUGACAGAAAUUUCAAACCAGUAUCUUAAUAUCUGAAAUACUAACAAGAAACUCUUAUUGCAACUACACAUAUAGCAUUCUGUUUGGCUUGUUGUCCACAAGCAGUUACGGUACGUGUACAUAAGUUAGGUACUGUCAAACCCCCUCGUUUCUACAUUCGUUUUUCUUUGCUUUAAGAAAACAAAAUGUAGUGUUUUCUCAAAAAGGUAUGCACUAGUUCAAAUGCUAUGUAGGUGCUCUGUUUACCUGUAUUUAGUAGGUCAGAUAAUGUUAUCAGUGACAUUCCUUCUGGCCUUCAGAUCUUCUAUAAACAAUCUUCAUGCUUUAACUUGCCUCCUCCUGUUUCACCUCCUUCAAGCUUUCACUUUUUGCUUCUCUACAAACUUUUAUUAGUUUCCACUGCUACCCAGACGCAGUGGUCAAUAAUUUCCUUCUGCUUAGAAAUAUUUUGGUGUAAUGGAGCAGUUCUACCAAAGCUAUUCAAGAUUUUCUCUGUAUCAUUGCAGACAGAUUGCCAUCCCAAGCCCAAAGCAUCCCUCCAGCCUGUUUCUCUCUGCAUUUGCAGCGUUGUAAGUGAAGGUGGCAUUUGCUGCACUAUGGGGAGCAACAUCUGAAAAGUAACAGGAGAAUCGAUGAUUCCUCAGCCACUAAGCUAGCAGCUAAAACCUAACUCUCAAUGUUAUUCUCUUUUUUUUUUUCUUCCCCUCACUUUAACCAAUUAAAUGUUAUUGUGGCAGGCACUUCUUAAGUCUCAUAUUCAUCCUCCUUUUCUGAAGAAUCAAACAUCUCUUUUCAGUAUUUUGAAUGGGUUUCAAAAAGGGAACCUUUGGGACCUACAGUGAAGAAAGAACCCAAGAUGAUUCAGAAUCUCCCCAAAACAGCAAGAAGAGUGCUACUAAUUUUCUUUUGCUUGUAAUGUUUUCCCUACUACACAGCUCCACAAGUGUCACUGAAGUGACAAAAAUCACAUUUUUCCAGUCUGUGAAGCACAGUAUCUUUGCUUCUGCUUUUGUGGCUUUCCUGAAAGGCAAUUUAAUCAGUUUAAUGCAUUGGAGAUGGGGAAGGAGGGAAGAACUUCUGCAUAUGGAAUUAUUUCUCAAGAACAGAAGUUUCUGCUAUUGCAGGGAAUGGUGCAGCCCUUUAGAAAAAGAGACCAGAACAGGUCAGCUCAGGUUUCUUGUAACAGUUUUGUUAGGAAUAAUAUGAGUAAUCAAAUUAAGCUUGUCAGAUUUGGAGUAGGUCCUCAGAUUUCCUUCAUAAAUAAGGCUAGGAUAUGAUGUGUUUCACAAUAUAUGUACUAGUAUUUUCCUUCUUUCAUUAGACUGAAAAGUUCACCCCAAUACAUUCGUUCACAGAAUGAACUAUGAUCAUAUAUAAAAUAAAAAAAAUAAUAAAAAACCCCAGCAGGUUCUAUGUCAGCUUUCUUGGUGACAAAAAUAUUUAAACUACAGGGCUUAGAGGAUACAGAAAUGCAUCGAAAUUCAGCAACUAAAACUGUGGAAAUGCAGCACAUUUCUCAUCCCCUAUUACAGGGAAGCAGUCAGGCCCUGCCCUGCCCUUUCAAUUCGUUCUAUACUGCUGUUAUUUUUAGUCUGAUAAAGUUUUGCUAGUCAAGAUUCGGCUCAUCUAUAUAAAAGAGAAGAAUGAAGCAAGAAUACAAUUAACAAAAACAAUGCCACAAAUUCAUGGGCAACAGAAACAUUUUUGUGUCCUCCAGGUAGAUUUAAAAAUACCUCUAGCAGUGGUUUCAUGUAUUUAAUUAUACAUGAUCAUACAUUUAAUCGUAUGUGCCAUUUAACGGACAUUUCUUUUCCAGUUUUUCUUGCACAUUUUUAAAGCAUACCUGUCUUUGCAUAGUUGUACUUGGCAAUGUAAACACCUGGACAGUUAGCUCUGGUGCACUUCUCAGAUCCAACAAACCAGGUAACUGCUUUCAAGAACAGCUGCUUUGAGUUAGAUUUGAACCUGCAGCAGCCUUAAACGUUACUGCUCAUUUCCAGAGGCAAUCAGUACCUUGUGAUUCCAGCAUAUUCUAACUCUCCAGAUAUUUUGCUUUAUAAAAACUUAUUACAUAUUCUCAAAAGCUGUUUAUUGCUAAUCAGAUGUGCUUCACUUUACAUUCAGUAUGGCUGAAUGAAAGGGACUAACAUACAAGCUUACAUACAAGCUUUCAUGUAAGCUUUCUUGGCUCUUCAGAUAGCAACAUAUUACUCUUGGAUAGCACAUGACUUAAAUUUACCUGUUAACUGCUUUGGGUAACUUUCAGAGAACAACAGAUGCAAUAUCUAUCUGCAAUAUCUGUCUCUGUACAAAAUGAUAUGGCUAUAAUUGCCUACUGCUAAGUUUUAAAAUAAAUGUUACAGAAAUUUUAGCUAGCUAAUCUCCUGCCCUGCCUCUCAGCAGGUUAUUGCUCCUGAAUGUGUAUUAUUUACCUUUCAUUUCUCAAGGUUGAUCUGUGUCAAAAUUCCAAAAUAAAGCACAAGUCCUGCUUCAAAUAAAAUUUGAAGGCAAAAAUGACUUUAGAAUGUUAAAAGAUAAACCAAUGCUUAAGUAUACAGUAAGUUAAAAAUCACCAUCUCCUGAUAGGAAAAGUCUUACAGUUGUUAGAAUAGUGGUAGACUUUACAGGUUUUACUAAGUUUAGCUUGUAAAAGCUGAGGAAAGAAGUGCAAUUGUAAUAACCCUAAAACACACUACAAACAUGUUGCUAGAGGCAAGGUUCCUCUCCACCUCAUGACUGAAGUAGCCCAAAUGUGGACUGUAUCCUUACCUUGAUCUUGGGUUUGCUUAAACUGUUCUAUUACUAAAGGCUAAGUUUUUUUCGCAAGCUGAGCGAGACUUCUAAAAUCAACCUCACUGAAAGCUCAUUGCUGCUUCCUCAUCAAUAUACCAGAAGGACUAUGUGACAUUUCUAUGGAAUGUCUCUAUGCUCCUGGGACUGAUGAUUCAGUGUAGAGCUGUUUGGAAUUUCUACAAAACUUUAGCCCUCCUCACUUCCAAAUGGCUUCCUUUUACCAGCCUGUCAAGCUCAAUUAAAAAUGUAUGCUUUGUGUGCAAUAAGAAGGGGAAGGAUGGAAAUUUCACAGCACAAAGUAUUAGGCAGCUCACUAGAAAGAGAAAGCUGCAUUUUCACGAGCAGCAUGAACUGUACCUCCUAGGUUUAAUUCUUUUUUUUCUGCAGUUAGGAAAAAAAUAACGCCAAAUUUUGAGGUGCAUAGUGAGCAACACUCAAGCUGAAAGAGCAUGCAAUUAAGAUCUCUGUAAUGUCAAUUUGAUUAAGUUUCUUCCUUGCUUGUCAUAGUUUCGUGAAAGAGAGCAAGGAAGGAGCCGUAUUUAGAACAGGGCUAGCAACUGGCAAAACAAACGUGAACAAACUGGAAGUGUCAAAACAAGUGUAAAACCACAGACUAAUUUUGGUUUUCACAUCACUGCAGAGUUUAGACACUAGCCUCACUCAAAUUACAUGGUAUUUGAUGGAAAAGACCCAUUUCAAGAAAAUUAAUACCUCAUCAUAACUCUCAAAAUCCAGCAACUGUUCCCACAAGCCUACAGACAGGAAGGUACCAAUCUGUGUCCUGUGAGUGAUUCCGCUACAAGCUGUCCUUGGAUUCACAGUAAAAUACAACAGGAACAAAGACAAAUGACAUCAUGGGAUCCACUGGGGUAUGGGCUAUCAUCAGAGGGUUAAAGGGAAAUCAUGGCAAAAAGUGAAUUAAAAAAAGAAAAGAGCAACCUCAAAGAACUAUCUGAAUAUCUACCAAGAAGAAAUGUCUUUAAUCACCUUCAAAGAACUCUAGAAAACAAGAUGUACUGAGGAGUAAGAAAUCAUUGGAUCAAUAUUUGAUAUAUAUUACAGCAGCAAGAAAAGAUCACUGUAUUCGAUUUAUAGUUGCAUAACCUCACAUGUGGGGAGACAGUUAUUCUGCUUUUAAGGAGUCUACAUUCAUUACUGAAUACUUCUGCAAAAAAAGGAUUCAGGCAAAAUUCGCUACAUUCAAAACAUAGCGUAUUUUAUAAGACAACAUUUAAAGCUUUAUGUAUGCAAAGUUUUAGUAAAAUACCAUCUUGUAUGUCCACAAAUCCAUCUGCGAUGCAUGGUUGAGAUGCAUGCACUAUAGGAAUGACAGUGUCAAAUUAGGAUUAAAUGAAUAAUCUAAACAAAACAAUGUACUCAAUUACUUUUUCCUCCUUCUAUCCUGAGUAGCCUUAAACAGGCCAGAUUUUUUCAGGUCUCAUAGUUCUAAUUGUUUAACAUCUUCCUUCUAGUCACUACUUCAGGAUGGAUGUUUUCUUCUACCACAGAUGUGUACAUCUGUGUACAGUGACUUCAUUCAACCAAUGUAUGUUCUCCUUGGCCACUGGCUUUGUUGUACCUACAUGCUCAUUGAUAAGGUCUUCUUUCCCUGCUUCUAGCUUUUGCUUUCUGUUGCAUGGAAAUUUACCAUAAAUCCUGGCAUAUGAGUUAGCUCACUCUGGAAAAAUCCAAAUGUCUUUGGUGGGACUGUUUCUCCUAUUUCACCGCUAGAACGUAUUAUUACUGAAUUCUGUAAAAAUCAAUUAAGGUUAUGACUGCUUUUUUUUUCCUGCAAGCUGAAUAUAGUAGCAUUUGCAGUGUCUUUUACUAUGAUGAUGGCAGAAGCUCCAUAGCAACAGCCUGUUUGUAUUCCUACUGGAACCACAUUGCUCCUGUAUUGUCUAUCAGGAAAACAAUUUUUAUAUGUAGAAUCACAGUUAUUUAGUUUGUGUGCUGAAGAAUUUAUACUGCUUAAGAGAAUAAAGUUUUAACUAAAAA